CCACAUUUACCAAAGGAAAAAUACAUCACCGAAGUUAUGCUGUAGUCCGGAUUGAUCUGGAUGCUGAACCGGGACCUUUGACUUCUAUCGACCUGCGCACAGAAACAACCGUACGCUAAGUAUUUAAAACUCAGUGGUAUUACCAUAAUUCAAAUUAUAACAAUAAUAAACAUGUAAUUCAUAAAUCAUAUAUACAAAUUUAAACUCAAAUUUCAUAUUUCAACAAUAACAAUUCUUCAAUUGGUAUCAUAUAUCCACAAUUUGAACUUGGACACAUCAUGAACCUUAGGUUCAUUCCUCAAUCUCAUAUGACAUUUCAAUUCACAAUUCAACUUUUUCAUCUCAUUUCAGUAGCUCGAUUGAUCAACUCAUUCGGUUUAUCGUUUCAUUAUUUACCCCUAUUAACAAAACUCGGACCUUGGCGGAUACACGGAUCCAGCCAAACACUCCAAUAUGGCACCCAGUGCCUCAUCGGAUAGUUCGAAGCAAUAGUUGACACCCGUCUCAUCGACAAAGCCGAAGAAAGUUGGUACCCAGUACCUCAUCAAAUCUAUCCGAAGAAAUAUAGUGACACCUGGUGUCUCAUCGACUCAAGGUCAAAGUAUCCCUAAACUCUUCCAAUCCUAUGGCAUGCCAACUAUAUCCGACUCAGCCUGAUUAGUUAAUAGGGUCUCCAAAUUCACAAUUCAAUUCAAUUUCACUUUUUCACUUUCAAUCACAAUUCAAUUCAAAAUUCACUUUUCCAUUUUCAAGUCAAUAUUCAUUUCAAUUCCUCACAUAUAUUCAUCAUUCAAUUGAAUUUCUUUGAACUUAAUAAUAAUACUUACCUUAUAUUUCACUUACCAUACAUAUAAAUUUAAAUAUAGCAUUUAAUAAUAAGUAAUUUGAAUUAUAGUAAUACAAACCCGGAUUUGUUCGAUUACUCCUCGACAACUUUUUCCUUUCCUUUCAGUACCGAUGCCUCAGGUUAUUUGCUAGCUAUGAAAAUAAUAAUAAUUUUCACUAUUAAUUACAGCAUUAAAUUAUAAUAAAUAAUUGAAUUUUAUUCAAUUCCUAAUUAUUCCCAAUUUAAUUCUAACUAAGUUUACUUACUUUUCUAACUUAAUUCAUACUUCUUUUCUACUUAAUUUCUUGCCAUAUUUAGUUCAACUAUUCAAUAUUCAUAAUAAAACCCCAAUUUAAAACUUCUUACAAUUUAAUCCCUAUAACACAAAACUUAUAACUUCUUUUACAAUUUAAUCCCUUUUAUCAAGUCUAACUAGAAAUUCUAUCAAUCAAACCCCUAAUUCAACAUUUUGUUCAACAUAAAUUAUAUUCAAAAACCUAAGAACUUUCAAAAAUUCAACUUAAAUUCAACAAAACCUUAUUCUAAAGCUUCUAAAACAUCAAAAUUAAGAGAAAAUGACUUAAUUGACUUACCUAUUAAAGCUUUAAACCUUCAAACUCUAGUUUUUCC
rnacentral:lncRNA from 1 species